AAAACACUAUAAUUAGAAAUAUGUGAUACCUGGUUUUAAGAUCUAAAAACAUUUAAUUUUUAAAAAAAUAAUUUUAAAUCAUUGAAUGAAUAAUACCAAAUUUGGGUUAAAUUUAAAAUUUAUUAAAAUUCAUAGUUGAAUAACACCUCUUUAGUUUUAAAUAACUUUAAAUUCGAUUUUAUUCACACUAAAUUUUAAAACAUAAUUUAAAAUAAUUAAAUGAAUAGUAUUAAAUUAUGGUUAAAUUAAACUCUUUUAAAUAACACCUCUUUAACUAAAAUUUAGCAACAGUAAAUUUUAAAAUAUGUUAAAUAUAUACAAAUAUAAUAUCCAAUGAUAUUAGACUCUAAAAUAAUUUCAUAAAAUGAAAAGCAGCGUAUAGUCAUUGGAUUUUGAUUGUAUUGAAUUCAUCUUUCUUUUUUUUGAACAAAGAACAUUUUUCUUUUUCAUCCUAAAGAUGUCUUUAACAUAAAUACAUCACUGAAAGCUCUCCACCUCUGACUGCAGUAUAUAUAAUCUGUUGUCGGAUUUAAUUCUUGUUAUAACAAUCAAAUACAGCAAACUAGAACCUCAGCCAAGAGGAUCACUCUAAAACAAAAAUAAGAAAAGGCGGUCGAUUUGAAUAUUGAAAUGUAUCGGAGAAUUUGAAACUUAGCAAAUCGAUCACCAUCAUCAACAUCAGCUGGAGUAUGUCAUCUCUCUGGAUAUUUUUCUUCUGAUUUUCAGUAAUGAUUUUGGAUUCUUUCUUAUCUUGGAUUAUAUGUUUAUCUUCAAUGAUCGAUAGGAGACAAUGGGGAAGAUAGUUAAUGUGAGUGGAUUCCUGACGGGAGUGAGUGCAAUGAAGGUUAGAUAUCUUUUUGAGAGGAUCACUGGUUCAGAAACUAUUCACACGAUCGGGCUUAAAGAGACUAAGUGUCGAGUAUAUUUUGUGCAUUGGUUCAAUUUACAUUUGAAGCACAUGCGAAGGAACUUAUCACAUGAUAAGAUGCUAUAAUAUGAAUUUCUAUCAACAGUCAUAUUGAUGUUUGGCCUUCGGAGGGUCUUAACCCUCUGUCACAAAAUGAAGGAUGGAAAAAACCAUAUAGAAAUGCAGUGAAUGCAAUUUUGGAACGGUAUGGUCAGACAAAGAUCAAAAGUGUGAUGUUGCAUGGAUGAUACGAAACCACACUGACCAGCCUGUUUUUCAUAGUCGAGGUGCUUUUCCUUUUAUUUUCAGUUUCCUGCUUACUCUUCUAGCCAAUUAAAGAACAUAUCGACUUGGAUGUUUUCACCCAGAAACGUAAUUUAGACAAAGGAUACUAGAUCAUGGAUGGGAGAUUUUGGGAACAUAAAGAAUGUUGGGGAAAUCUUUCGCUUGGACAAAGAGACGCUCACAGUCAUGGCUGAUGAUGUCAAACUGAUUCAUGAUGUGGAAAUCCUCUCUUCAGUGACACACUAUGUGUGUUUAAGAUAGAAUUAGAAAGAUUUCUUCUGAGUUCGCUGAAAUGGUGGCUAGGAAAUGCUGACAUCAAAGGGAUUUUUCCAUCAACUUUUCAUAUUAGAUGUGGAGGGUACAAAGGAGUAGUCGCUCAAAAUCCAAACUUCUCAAAGAAACUGUCUUUGGGGAGUAGAAUGAAAACGUUUUAUUCCGAUCACACAAAAUUGGAUGCGUUGGCGUGGACCAAAGAACAACCUUGUUUUCUUAACAGACAAAUGAUAUCAAUAUUGUCCACUUUGGGGGUUAGUGACAAUGUUUCGAGAAGAAACCUAAGAAAGUUGUUGAUACGUUAGAUUCAUUCUUAGCUGAUCAUAUGAAGAUUCUUCAUUUAAUGCCUCUAAGGGAGCACACAAAGUUUCUCAAAGAUCUAAUCUCUUGUGGUUUUAAACCCUCAGAACCCUUUCUCUCAAUGAUGCUUCACCACAUUAGAGAAUCAAAACUGGUGGAACUUCGUACUAAGAUGUGUAUUUUGAUUCCUAAGAGUAGAUCCAUGAUGGGUUGUAUAGAUGAAACGAAUUUGCUAGAAUACAGUGAGGUGUUCCUGCAGUGUUCAUAUGUGAGUAAACACAAAAUCUCAGUCUCAAGUCAUAAUCUAUUCCCAUAUCAAAUCCUACUCUUAUGCAAGAUUCCAAGUCUCCAAGAGAACCAUGUAAUAUAAUAGGAGAUGUUGUUGUGAAAAGUCCAUUCUUGCAUGCGGUGGAUAUUUGUGUGCUUAAAGCUAUUGAGGUGAGUGGUUUGGUUCUUAUGACUGAUUGUAUCGUUUUCUUCCAAAAGGGCUAUAGGUAAACACUUUUUUUUAUCUCUAUUGUGAUUCUUUUGAGAAUUAUUAUUUGCUGUUGGUUUGAAUAUCCUUUUCGUUUGAUUGCAUAGGUCAUAUCCAGACAAAAGUUCAGAGACCAUUGGAUGAGGAUUUGUAUUUUGUAAGCUGGGAUCCAGAACUUAUCCCACUAAAAACUUAUGAGCCAAUGGACUAUACUAUUACGGAACCUCAGGUUUUGGAUUGUGAGAUUACCAUCCAGGAAAACACUGAGCAUUUCACAAACUGACCUAUGAAUAACACUAUAGGAUUAUCUCAGAUCUCAUAAGGUGUUUGUGAGUAAAAAAGACGAUAAAUCCCUGAGAAAACAGUGCCUUGAACUGGCAAACAUGUUCUCAGCAGCUGCUGAUUUCCCAAAAUCAGAGCUUGAAGUCAAAAUACCACCACAUCUGUGUGUGAAAGAAUAUCCAGAUUUAUGCAAAAAUGAUAUAAACCAAACCACUCACCUCAAUAGCUUUAAGCACAUGAAAUCCUCGUAUGAAAGCAUGGACUUUUUGCAACACAACAUUUUCUAUUAUGUUGGAUGGCUCUCUUGGCGACUUGGAAUCUUGCAUGAUAGUAGGAUUUGAUGUGGAACUAGAUUUUGAUUUGAAACUUAUAUUUUGUUUUGACUCUCAUAUGAACACUACAUGAACACCUCAUCGUAUUCUAGCGUAUUCAUUUCAUCCAUACAACCCAUCAUGGAUCUACCCUUGGAAAUCUAAAUACGGGUCUUACUACAUAGUUCCACCAGUUUUGAUUCUCUGAUUUAGUGAAGCAUCAUUGAUAGAAAGGGCUCUGAGGGUUUAAUAUCACAAGAGACUAGAUCCUUGAGAAAUUUGGUAUGCUCCCUUGGAGGCAUUAGACAAAGAAUCUUCAUCGGGUCAGUUAAGACGGAGUCUAACGUAUCCACAACUUCCUUGUGUUUCUUUCCAAAAACACUGUCACUAACCACCAAAGUGGACAAAAGUGUUAUCAUUUGUCUGUUUAGAUAACAAGGUUGUUCCUUAGUCCAUGCCAACACAUCCAGUUUUGUGUGAUCCGAAUGGAGCUUUGCCAUACUACUUCUCAAAGACAUUUUCUUUGAUUAGUUUGGAUCCUGAGCGACUACUCUUUUGUACCCUCCAUAACUAAUCUGAAAAGCAGAUGGAGAAACUCCUUUGAUGUCGCAUUUCCUAGCCACCAGUUCAUCAAACUCAGAAGAAAUCUUGCCAAUUCCAUCUGAAAACACAUAGUGUGUUCCCGAAGAGAGGAUCUGCACAUCAAGAACAGUUCGACAUCAUCAGCCAUUACUGUGAGCGUCUCUUUUGACAAGCCGAAAGACUGGCCCAACCUUGCAACAUAUUUGACAACAUUCUUUAUGUUCCCAAAAUCCUCCAUCCAUGAUCUAAUAUCCUCUGCCUUGAUCCCAUCCCUCAGUGCAAGCAUUCAAGUCUAUGUGUUCUUUAACUGGCUAGCAGAAUAAGCAAGAAACUCAAAGGGAAUUGAAAGGAGAAGCAUCUUUGACUAAGAAACAGAGGUUGACCAGUGUGGUUCCGUAUGAUCCACAUAACAUUACAGUUUUUAUACUUGCAUGACUAUAUGGCUCCAAAAUUACAGUAUAUUUCUAUGUGGCUUUUUCCAUUCUUCAUUUCGUGUUAGAGAGUUAAGAUCCUCCAAACACGAAAAGAUGAAACAUCAAUAUGAUUGUUAAUAGAAAGCCAUAUUUCAACAUAUUUUUACUUCUCCAACUAUUUUCUUUUUUUUUUUGUAAAUGAAAUACAUGUAAUAACAAAAAGUUUACAAAAGAAAACUACAGUAAAAUUCUAUAAAUUAAUAUUUGAUAAAUUAAUAAAUACAGUAAAUUAAUAAUUCCUGCAGUUUCAAUUUGGACCGGUUAAAAAUAUAACACACAUCGAUAAAAUAAUAACUUUUUAGAAAAUUCUAUGUAAAUAUUUUUCCCUGUAAAAUUAUAAAUUAAUAAUAUUUAUAUAUAAUUCAUAAAAGCACAAACAAAACAUUGUAUUAUUAGUUUUAUUUUCACAAUGGAAUUAAUGUCUGUUUUUUCUUAAUCUUAAAUAUAUUUUGAUAAUAUUUAGUUAAAUUAUAUCUAAAACCACAUUCGAAACAUAUGAAACAUAUUUCAUAUACACCAAAUAAUAUAAUAAAAAAGAUAUCAGAGUCUAGUUUCUAAAAGUUAAUUAAUGUAUAUACAGUAAAACUAACAAUUUUUAUUUUACAAAAAAGAUAUUCUAAAAUAUAUAAAUCUAAAAAAAAACUUUUUGUAAACUAAUACCCUUAUAAAUUAAUAAAUUACCAUAUUUCAUCAUUAUUAAUUUAUUGAGUUUUUAUUGUAAUAUUACAUGAUUUUGGAAAAUAGGCACCAUAUGUUAAAAUUAUAACAAUUGUGAAAGCUUAGAAAUGUAGCACUCUACUUAAGCAAUUGAAAAGUUGGGUCAAAUCAUAAUCAAAAGAAAGACUAAUAAUUGACUUGGAACGGAUUAAUCAUUGCCUUAUUUCCAUGUUCACGGUUGCACUUGCAGUUGUGCUGAGCUUAGAACAUAAGGGCACACAAAUGGGCACUAGAAAACGGGGAGCACAAAUCCAAAUUUGUUGUGUUUUAUAUGAUUUAGACGUUUCUAUGAUUCAGAGCCUCUCCCAUAUUCACAGACUUGAAAUAUUCAUCUUGUCCAAUUAUGUUAGCUCUUUGGUUGCAACGGAUCUCAGUCCGUGUCCAAUGUCUAGAUCAAUCACAGCAACUUUCCUCGUCAAUGAAGAAACUCCCAGCUAGACCAUCAACAUUAAAAAUAGAGAUGGACCUCAAUAACUUGCUCCAUGAAACUGCGUCUUGAUUAAUCUUAUUUGUGAUCCAAAUCUCCAAUGCCGGACCGUUCACCCAGCUUUCCUGUAAGACCGCACGCUGCUCCUCUCUAACAAAUGAUAACGACACAAAUAUAUCUACACUAUGAGCGUUAAAUGGUGGAGGCAGCCGCUUACCAAAUCUCUUUGUUGUAAAAUCAAAAGAGAUUAUAUCCUCAAUAUUAUUUCUUCUACCCACUCUCAUCCUCUUUUUAGCUAAAAGAUGAGUAUUCCUUUCAGAGACACACCACUUCGAUAAAAAAAUCUAUAUUUAUUUCAGUAAAAAUAAUGCGUGAUUAUGAAAAAUAUCACUGAUAGAUUUGUGUACAUGUAAAGGAUAUAUGUUUUCUCCUUUUUACUAUCUAAAAUGCUGCAUUUCGUGCUUUGAUUUUAUUAGUCGUAUAAUUUGGGUUUAUAUAUGUUUUUCAGUUCUAUUUUCCAGGACAAGUGUAGUUUACUAUAAUGUAGUCCAGUUUUGUUAUAUCAGGCUAUGUCGAGAUGACUGUUGCAGUAACCGAGUCAGUGUUGAAGAAGAGAAUGAGGGAGGACGGAACAUUCUAAUGCACCCUAUAUUUCAUAUGUUGGAUCCAGUUGGUGUCAAAAUGUAUGCGUUCUCUAUGAUAACAUUCUGAUGCACCUUGGUAGGGGCUAGCUAGGGAAGCAUGACAUCAUCUAUGUGAACGAUCUGAUCCAACAUUUGGUAGAACAUGUGUGUUAAAAAGUGUGCCUAGAUACGAGGCCUAGGCUAGAUGUGAAGUUACUUGGACCCGGCGGUGAUUGUGCACAAUUACUUCCACGUGGAAGUUGAUGAGAUGAAAUUGAAGAAGAUUUUGGAGGAGAUGGGGCUGGUGAAUUGUUUGUGGAAGUUGAAGAGUAUAAUUAUGGUGAUGAAUGAAUUUUGAGUUUUAAAGUUUGUUUUCAGCUUAGUUUUAUGAAUACUUUAUUUUAAAACUUGUUUGAUAGUUUAUUGUUCCGUUGUUUUCUGUUCCCUAAAUAAUUUUUUGACAUUUGAAAGUACACACUUCAGUUCUUAAACUUGGAAAAUUUAAACAAUUUACACUAGCAGAAGUUCAGUCACAUGAUUCAGAAGUAAUCGUUAAGAGGAGAAAAGCAAAAACAAGUAAAAAUUAACAACUAACAACGCAAUACAAAUUAUUUAAACUUCAAAAUAAAAUAACAUUUUUUAAACUUAAGAAGCAAACAUAUUUGUAACUAAACUACAAAUGCAACUGUGAUAACAUAAAACAUAAAUAUUGACCAAAUACCAAAAACAUAUA